rnacentral:rRNA from 1 species
CAAAAUGGGGGGCAGCCCUAACACAUGCAAGUCGAGCGAGAUCUUCGGAUCUAGCGGCGGACGGGUGAGUAACGCGUGGGAAUAUGCCCUUUGGUACGGAAUAGCCUCGGGAAACUGAGAGUAAUACCGUAUGUGCCCUUCGGGGGAAAGAUUUAUCGCCAAAGGAUUAGCCCGCGUUGGAUUAGGUAGUUGGUGGGGUAAUGGCCUACCAAGCCUACGAUCCAUAGCUGGUUUGAGAGGAUGAUCAGCCACACUGGGACUGAGACACGGCCCAGACUCCUACGGGAGGCAGCAGUGGGGAAUCUUAGACAAUGGGGGCAACCCUGAUCUAGCCAUGCCGCGUGAGUGAUGAAGGCCUUAGGGUUGUAAAGCUCUUUCAGCUGGGAAGAUAAUGACGGUACCAGCAGAAGAAGCCCCGGCUAACUCCGUGCCAGCAGCCGCGGUAAUACGGAGGGGGCUAGCGUUGUUCGGAAUUACUGGGCGUAAAGCGCACGUAGGCGGACUGGAAAGUUGGAGGUGAAAUCCCAGGGCGCAACCUUGGAACUGCCCUUCAAAACUAUCAGUCUGGAGUUCGAGAGAGGUGAGUGGAAUUCCGAGUGUAGAGGUGAGAAUUUCGUAGAUAUUCGGAGGAACACCAGUGGCGAAAGCGGCUCACUGGCUCGAUACUGACGCUGAGGUGCGAAAGUGUGGGGGAGCAAACAGGAUUAGAUACCCUGGUAGUCCACACCGUAACGAUGAAAUGCCAGGUCGUCGGGCAGCAUGCUGUUUCGGUGACACACCCUAACGGGAUUAAGCAUUUCCGCCCUGGGGGGAGUACGGUCGCAAGAUUUAAAACUCAAGAAUUUGACGGGGGCCCGCACAAGCGGUGGGGAGCAUGUGGCUUAAAUUUCGAAGCACGGCGCAGAUCGUAACUAGCCAUGACAUCCCAAGGACGACCAGGAGAUUGGUCUGUUUCUCGUUAAGGAACCUUGCAGACAGCUGCUGCAAUGGCUGUCCGUCAGUCUCGAGCUUCCUUGGAAAAUG